CCUACGGGGGGCAGCAGUGAGGAAUAUUGGUCAAUGGACGAGAGUCUGAACCAGCCAUGUAGCGUGAAGGAUGACUGCCCUAUGGGUUGUAAACUUCUUUUAUAAAGGAAUAAAACGAGGCACGUGUGCCUUUUUGCAUGUACUUUAUGAAUAAGGAUCGGCUAACUCCGUGCCAGCAGCCGCGGUAAUACGGAGGAUCCGAGCGUUAUCCGGAUUUAUUGGGUUUAAAGGGAGCGUAGAUGGGUUGUUAAGUCAGUUGUGAAAGGUUGCGGCUCAACCGUAAAAUUGCAAUUGAUACUGGCAGUCUUGAGUACAGUUGAGGUAGGCGGAAUUCGUGGUGUAGCGGUGAAAUGCUUAGAUAUCACGAAGAACACCGAUUGCGAAGGCAGCUUACUAAACUGUGACUGACAUUGAUGCUCGAAAGUGUGGGUAUCAAACAGGAUUAGAUACCCGAGUAGUC
rnacentral:rRNA from 1 species